GGGGUAUAUGGGGCGCAGCCUGAUCCGCAUGGCGCGUGUGUGAAGAAGGUCUUCGGAUUGUAAAGCACUUUCGGCGGGGACGAUGAUGACGGUACCCGCAGAAGAAGCCCCGGCUAACUUCGUGCCAGCAGCCGCGGUAAUACGAAGGGGGCUAGCGUUGCUCGGAAUGACUGGGCGUAAAGGGCGCGUAGGCGGAUUACAUAGUCGGGCGUGAAAUUCCUGGGCUCAACCUGGGGACUGCGUUCGAGACGUGUUGUCUUGAGUUCGGAAGAGGGUCGUGGAAUUCCCAGUGUAGAGGUGAAAUUCGUAGAUAUUGGGAAGAACACCGGUGGCGAAGGCGGCGACCUGGUCCGAUACUGACGCUGAGGCGCGAAAGCGGGGGGAGCAAACAGGAUUAGAUACCCUGGUAGCCCACGCUGUAAACGAUGUGCGCUGGAUGUUGGGUGACCUAGUCACUCAGUGUCGUAGCUAACGCGAUAAGCGAACCGCCUGGGGAGUACGGCCGCAAGGUU
rnacentral:rRNA from 1 species